GGGGUCCAUCUGUCCGGCUUCAAACUCUUCCUCCUCCUUCUUCUCCUGCAGCAGUUGGUUGCUGUCUUUUCAAACUUUUCGGACCUGCUGCCUCUUUUGUUGCGGUUCUGUUGGCCGUGAAAUCGGCUUUUAAUGGGAACACAAUGGCCGCGUGCAGAGUCGACCCGCUGUAUUCAAAUGUGACCGCACGCCAUUAUCACUGCAUUUCCAGCUCUAAAUAAACACUCAUUUAACAGCCAUUCAUCUCUUUCAUCUCACAUCUUUAUGAAUUUGUAUAUUAGUCAUUGUACAUUUUUGAACUGUUUCCACACUCCAGCUAACUGCAAUGAAACAGCCAUUUAAAAAUCUGACUUUUAUGAUUUUGUCCAUGUGAUACAAUUCUUUAUUUACUUACAAUAAACCAAAACACCUCACAAUGUGACAGGUAAAAUUACACCUAAGGUUGUUUGACUUUUUAAGGGAUCGAUUAUCACUCGAUUACACCAAAAAGAAAGUAAGAAAAAAGAAGCUAACGCAAUUGUUUAACCAAUGCUGUCAUGCUUUUAAACAAUAAAGGAUAUUGAAUUAAUGUACA